GACGAACGCUGGCGGCGUGCUUAACACAUGCAAGUCGAACGGAAAGGCCCUGCUAUUGUGGUAUGCUCGAGUGGCGAACGGGCGCGUAACACGAGAGUAACCUGCCCUUGCCUAUGGGAUAACUACAGGAAACUGGGGCUAAUACUAGUUAGGAGCUCCUUCUGCAUGGUGGGGGGUGGAAAGUUUCGGCGGUUGGGGAUGGACUCGCGGCUGCUCUGCUUGUUGGUGGGGUCGUGGAUUCACAAGGCUUUGACGGGUAGCCGGCCUGAGAGGGGGACCGGCCACAUGGGGACUGAGAUACGGGCCGGAGCCCUACGGGAGGCAGGAGUGGGGAAGAUUGCACGAUGGGCGGAAGUCUGAUGCAGCAACGCCGCGUGCGGGAUGGUGGCCUUCGGGUUGUAAACCGCUUUCUGCGGUGACGAAGCGUGAGUGACGGUAAUGGGUAAAGAAGCACCGGCUAACUACGUG
rnacentral:rRNA from 1 species